rnacentral:rRNA from 1 species
GGAAACUAGAGGCGAGGAGUGGUUGGAAUACGGAGGGGGUGUGGGUGGCUAGGAAGCACUGGGUGGAAAGGGUGCGGAGGCGGGUCUUUAAGUCAGGGGUGAAAUCCUGGAGCUCAACUCCAGAACUGCUUUUGAUACUGAAGAUCUUGAGUUCGGGAGAGGUGAGUGGAACUGCGAGUGUAGAGGUGAAAUUCGUAGAUAUUCGCAAGAACACCAGUGGCGAAGGCGACUCACUGGCCCGAUACUGACGCUGAGGCACGAAAGCGUGGGGAGCAAACAGGAUUAGAUACCCUGGUAGUC